rnacentral:rRNA from 1 species
AACGACAUAGAUCUGAGAAACCUACAACUACUUGGUUAAGGGUCGAACCAUGGUUCUCAAAGUCAAACCUUAAGUCUAAACUACCGUUCUCAAUAGUUCUUCCUGUCCUUUCGAGGGCCCCUUAUACCCUUUGACGCCGACUUCUGACUCAAGAGUGCCACACGCCUACUAUCGAACAAACCAUCGUACCUGGUGCAGUGUUUUAAACAUCGUCGU